GUGCUGCGUUCAAUACGAAGAGGCUAUAAGGUGUCGCUCACUCCUACAAACCAAGGUCGCCGAGGCAUUGCUGGGAACGAAGCAGCAGACCACGCAGCAUCGCAGGCUCACACCCUUCGGCAUCGUACCAUAUUACUCCCAGCUAAAAGGAAGAGACGGUAAGAAUUAUGAAUUUUAUUUUUCUUGAGUACUGACAAAGAGAGAGAGGGUUAAUAACACUAAAGUUUCAGGGAAGGGCUUUUCCGCCGUAAAAUUUAAGAUAGAGUAGGCAAUUGGCCUUGGGCACUGAACCGAAACAGACUCGUAGAGAUACCACUUGCUCGGCUACAGAUGGGUCAUGCUGGAGUGAAAGCAUACAUCACUAGGUUUAGGAUUAUUGCUCUCUAGGCCAUUAUGCUGUUAUAUUUGUCUAUUAAUUCAUUGCUAAAAAAAGUACUUCUUCAAAAACUAAACGCUAAGCCUAUUUUUUUAGUUUCCUAUUUUUUUUAUACUAAAAAAUAUGAUUACGUCAUUGCUAGAAGCUGAAACUUUGACGACCAAUUCCAACAUUUUCACACGAACUAGAGAACUUCAUCAGAGCAGUUUCCAACGAGAAGAUUCGAUUGAAGUGAGUCAUAAAUAUAUUUAUAUUUAAUCAGGGAAGAAUACAAUUUCGAAUUUUCACGUUUUGAAAAUUGUUUGUGAAAGAUUAUAUGUUAUCAAAUACAAGAAGUUUCAUGUUACAAACACUGCUUAUCCUUUGUGAAACGAGCGAUGCCUACGCCAUUCAAUCACACAAUAACUUGAUCCUAAAAUUCAGGAUAUAUUCAGACUGUACCACGUGCAACACGUUACAAACUCAAAGUUUCUCUACCGUCUAUGUGGCUGAGUGGACUAAGGCAGCUGGUCGCGCGCAUUCGUCUACAGUCUUGGCAAGAGUUCAAAUUUUGGCAGGUGACUCCAAGUUUCUUCAACCUGAGUUUGGCAGCGGUGACACACACAGGUGUCUCAAAAUCCCAAAUUUUGAAACACUUGGACAUCUUUGAAACACCUGAGCGGCCUCAGGUGUCUCGAUUUCGGCACGAUCGCUCGGAGGGGCCUUGAAACACCUAAGUGUCUCAUAACAGCUGUCAAAUUUCUAUCAGUGACGAGGUCCUUUCCCACCUGAGACGUAGAAAUACGGAUUUUAAGAGAUACCAUCAACGAUACGGGUGGCCGGCGGGAGGCCAGCUGGACAUCAACUUAGUCUGCUGGACGGCGGUAACGAUUGAAUCGCCGUGCAGACGUUGAGCUACAAGGAAGCUCCAAUAAUAAUCAAAUAAAGAACUGAGAAUGGUUGAUAAAGAAGGUAUCAAGCUACUGAAAGCCACUUCAAAUAACAAUAUUAAGGAGAUAGAGUCAUUAAUUGAACGUGGGGUCGAUGUAAAUUAUCAAGACUCGACUACCAAACUAGGAGCUAUGGAGAUUGCUUGGGGAAAUGGAAACAAUGCUGCUAUGUUAUUGUUGCUGAAAGCAGGUUCACGUUUUCCUAUAAACUUUUCAUUAGAUGCUUUGUAUCAAGAAAAUGGCAUUCAUUAUGAAUUGAAAGAAUUUGUAAAAAUGAGAGAAAAAUUACACAAAUGGAUUAA